AACGUAGGAGACAAACGUUAUCCGGAGUUACUGGGCGUAAAGGGCGUGUAGGUGGUUGCGUAAGUCUGGCGUGAAAUAUCUCGGCUUAACCGAGGCAGGUCGUCGGAUACUGCGUAACUGGAGGACGGUAGAGGCGUGUGGAGUUCCGGGUGUAGUGGUGAAAUGCGUAGAGAUCCGGAGGAACACCAGUGGCGAAGGCGGGUCUCUGGGCCGAAAUUGACGCUGAGGAGCGAAAGCGUGGGGAGCAAACAGG
rnacentral:rRNA from 1 species